rnacentral:lncRNA from 10 species
AAUUGAUCAUCUUUGGAGGCUAACAAUCAAUUCAUUAUCUAGAGACAGACAGAGGCUCACUAGUGGCACGAUCUUGGCUGAUUGCAUCUUCCACCUCCUGGGUUCAAGAGAUUCUUGUGCCUUAGCUUCCUGAGUAGCUAAGAUUACAGAUCACAAGCAAUCAGGCUGAUCCCGCCUGAGCCCUGAGCUCCCUGGGACCCAGCAGCAGCUGUGCAUUGGCACGUGGUGCCCUGUGUCUGAUCAGCUGACUCCUCAGGCAAAACCUGCACCAUUUUCACCAGAAUUGCAGAUGUCCUCAGUGUCAUUACAAAGUUCCUAAGUCAUGACCAUUCUGUCCUGUGGAACCAGGCUGGACUAAGCUCCCAUUUCUUUAAGCCAUCCUGUCCCCUGCAGGGACUUCCAAGGUGGAGCUGAUGAGCAAUAGUUAUGAGUCAUUGGAGGAGACAUCCCAGAGGCGCCAGCUCCCCUCUGCCCUAAACUGAAAUUAAGACCUGGUGCUCUGGGUGGGGCCCCUGGAAGGGGAUGUGCAACUCAGAGGGGACCUUCUCCACCUCCACCCAGGAGACCCCAGAGGGACCAUGGCAGAGCCGGAGCCCUCUUUUUUUUUGUUCGUUUUUUAUUUUAUUAUUAUUAUACUUUAAGUUUUAGCCCUCUUUUAAAAACCAAAUGAAAAUAAGCAAAAGAAGCCAAUCGUCUCUGUGAAAUGUCCAGAAGAGGGAACUCUGUAGAGACAGAGAGGAUAUUAUUGGCUGCCGGAGGCUGGGAAUGGGAAGGUGAGGGGCCUGGGGAGGUGAUGGUUAAAAGAUUCUUCUUUGUGGUGAUGAAAUUGUCUUAAAAUGGACUGUGGUGAUAGUUGUGCAACUUGGUGAAUAUAUAAGUUAUUGAAUUGUACACUUUAAAUGGGUGAAUUGUAUGGUGUGUGAAACAUAUCUCAAUAAAGCUGUUAUUUGAAAAAUAAAUAAGUAAAUAAGUGAAGUCCCUGGGCUGGAGCCGGGGGGAUGCGGUUGUUCACUCUAGCUGCACUUGCUGUAGGCCCUGGGCAAGACCUUUCUGCACCCUGGCCCUCAGUUUCUCCAAUCUGGAACACGUGGGGUCGGCCAAGGUCUCCACAGGCCUUCUCCAGCAGUGUGUGACAGUGUGGAGUGCCUGCAGAGAAGGCACCUGGGUCUCUCUGAGGAGCAGAGAAGGGGACUGGGGCUGCAGGAAUGUGGCUUCACUGUGGGCUUGGGUAUCUGUGAGGUCCUGUCUGGGAGAAGCCUUCU